rnacentral:rRNA from 1 species
AUUGAACGCUGGCGGCAGGCCUAACACAUGCAAGUCGAGCGAGCGGCGGACGGGUGAGUAAUGUAUGGGGACUGCCCGAUAGAGGGGGAUAACUACUGGAAACGGUGGCUAAUACCGCAUACUAUCGGAUAACCCAUAUGGGAUUAGCUAGUAGGUGUGGUAAAGGCUCACCUAGGCGACGAUCUCUAGCGGGUCUGAGAGGAGGAUGAGCCAAAUUGGGACUGAGACACGGCCCAGAUUCCUCCGGAGGAAGCGGUGGGGAAUAUUGCACAAGGGGCGCAAGCCUGAUGCAGCCAUGCGGCGGGUAUGAAGAAGUCCUUAGGGUUGUAAAGUACUUUCAGAGGGGAGGCGUUACCCGCAGAAGAAGCACCGGCUAACUCCGUGCCAGCAGCCGCGGUAAUAC